rfam:Camelus ferus unplaced genomic scaffold scaffold1086, whole genome shotgun sequence.
GAGGGUAUAGCUUAAGUGGUAGAGUGCAUGCUUUGCAUACACAAGGUCCUGGGUUCAAUCCCCAGCACCUUCU